CUUGAUUCCUGUAACUACAGAUCACUUGCCCUUUCCAUGCAGAGGGGAAAGGUGCAGAGUCUCAUCCCACGAAUUGGUGAUAAUUUACCCCGAAAAAACUGAACUCUAAGAAGCCCUCCUUCCUCGUACAAUUCAAGGAUUAUAACAGCAUUCGGACAGAGAGCCUCUGCCUCCCAGAGUUGUUGGGAUGAUUGACGGAGACGCUCAGAGUACAGAGCACAGUGUCUGACUCACGGGAAGGGAUGUCCCACAACAUAUGGAAUAUGAAAGGAGGUGUGGAAAUACAGUCAUUUCUCUUCUGCUAGACAUUAAAGGAAUUUGCAAAGCUGUACCAUUUGUGUUUCCAUCCGGCGUGUGCAAGAGUCCUAUGUUUUAUUCAUCCUUGGCAGCACUGAGAGUCUUUUGUUUUAUGGAUGAGAGUCAUCUUGACAGCAAUUACAAAGAGAACAAGAAAGUGAACACUAUGUACUCCAUUCUGUCUACAUUCAGAACUAUAAUCUUGUGGCUGCCUUUGGAGACUCCAGCAGAAGAAUAAGAUGCACUUUCUUCUGAGUUUGGCAGAGGACCAGUGUUUGGAAGGGAAAAUAUGUUCAAUUUCAACUGAGAUCCACACUUCACAUGUCUUUGCUCAUACAAAGCAAGUUGGAAAAUGGGUAGUUGAUGGAUGGGGGUGGAAAAAAUGUAGCUGUAUGUUAAAUCUUUAUUGUCCAUCAUUAACAAGACUCCAUAACUAUAAUAAUGAAUGACAUUUGUCUUAUAGGGAGUCAUCUGUUGCUGUGCUGGAAUUCAGAAAAACACUUGAGAGUUAAUAUAAAUGAAUUGGGUAUCUAUUAAAUAUUGAAUCAAAAUUUCCAUAAGGCUGAGUGAACUUGGUAACUAAAAGAAACCAGGUGAAGUAAAAUGUUAAUUUUGCAUUUAAAGAAAGAUUGAUUUCACAGCUGGAGAUCUGUCUUUAUGCUUCUGAUCUGAUGUUUCUAGGUCAUACCCCGUAGUCUUACAUUUGGAUAUUGUUUUUAAUUUCUUCUCAGUCUAAGUUAAUGUGCCAAUGUUUUUAAGGAGCUAGGUUGACGUGAAAUACUAAGAUGGCUGUUUUAUGUCCCACUGGGAAAGCGGAACUUGGAGAUAUUCUGAACCUUUAAGUCUCAAACUGGCAUGGGGGUUUUUCCAAAGGGAUGUUUUACUAUGUUUAAAGCAUGUCUACCACUCGUAGUAAGACAUGUUCCAUUCAUUGAAACAUCAGAAAUCUGAGUCUUGAUCCAAUUAAGGCUGAUUGACAUCAUCUUUCAGAAGUGAAAAUUUUGUUGUCCUGUUUGCAAUAUUUCUCUCACAUAUUCUUUAUGAAGUCAUUGUUUCCAAGAAGUACCUCCUGUUGUGAUCAUCCAUCUGCCUUCUCAUCUGGUUCCCAUAGAUCAAUGUCACGUAACAUACAUGCACAAUGACAGAGACAACCCGUUUACCGCUGCUGAGGCUGCUGUUCAAAGGACUGAUGCAGAGAGACCAAUGUCAGAAGCGAGUUCAUGGUGUGUCUUCGAUCAUUUCCCAAUGUGUCCAUUCAGAGUGGGAUAAAGAAGGGGAGAAGAGCCACCCACGGCAAUUUCUCACAUCUUGGGGAAGAGUGCCUGAAGAUGGUUCCUUAAAGAUACGGGCAUUUCUCCAGGGCUUUGUGGAAUAACAUUCACUUUCCCCACGUUCCUCAAGAUGGAAGAGAGAACAGUAGCCUAAUUCCAAUGUGCUCUGACAGCAGAUAUCUUACCAGGGCUGUGAAUCCAAUUUACUAGCAGAUCCUGCCAUUCAAGAUGUAGGGUCACGGCUUGGGCCUCUUCAA